GACGAACGCUGGCGGCGUGCUUAACACAUGCGAGUCGAACGGAAAGGCCCUGCUUUUGUGGGGUGCUCGAGUGGCGAACGGGUGAGUAACACGUGAGUAACCUGCCCUUGACUUUGGGAUAACUUCAGGAAACUGGGGCUAAUACCGGAUAGGAGCUCCUGCUGCAUGGUGGGGGUUGGAAAGUUUCGGCGGUUGGGGAUGGACUCGCGGCUUAUCAGCUUGUUGGUGGGGUAGUGGCUUACCAAGGCUUUGACGGGUAGCCGGCCUGAGAGGGUGACCGGCCACAUUGGGACGGGGAUACGGCCCAGACUCCUACGGGAGGCAGCAGUGGGGAAUAUUGCACUAUGGGCGGAAGCCUGAUGCAGCAACGCCGCGUGCGGGAUGACGGCCUUCGGGUUGUAAACCGCUUUCGCCUGUGACGAAGCGUGAGUGACGGUAAUGGGUAAAGAAGCACCGGCUAACUACGUG
rnacentral:rRNA from 1 species